UAAGAUUCUAAAGAAAUAGGC
rnacentral:piRNA from 1 species